rnacentral:rRNA from 1 species
UACGUAGGUGGCAAGCGUUGUCCGGAAUUACUGGGUGUAAAGGGAGCGUAGGCGGGAAGGCAAGUUGAUUGUUUAAACUAUGGGCUCAACCCAUAGUCGCGAUCAAAACUGUUUUUCUUGAGUGAAGUAGAGGUAAGCGGAAUUCCUAGUGUAGCGGUGAAAUGCGUAAAUAUUAGGAGGAACACCAGUGGCGAAGGCGGCUUACUGGGCUUUAACUGACGCUGAGGCUCGAAAGCGUGGGUAGCAAACAGG